rnacentral:lncRNA from 1 species
CUUUGCAUGAAUAAUGUGAGUGCGCUUGGAAAGGAGACCUUCUGCUCCCCGGGCUCGGGGCAAGCGCCCGCAGGCUGCCUUCCCCGGGCUCGGGCGGUCAACCCAACAGGCUCGAGGGCUCCGGUAAUUUGGCAAGAGGACUGCGCGGAGGAGGCAGGGGGUGGUGGGUAGGCGGAGGAGGGGGCGACAGUUCCCACCGUCCAGAAGGUGGGGACUGGGUGUCGCAGGAACCUGGACGGGUGCCGGCUGUAAAGCUCAGCGCGCGCGGGCGGGCAGGCGUGGGCGGGCGGGGGUGUCAUCGCCUCCUGACCUGCCUCCGCGGGGUUUCUGCGCCCGGGGUCUGGGAGGAGGUGCCCUCUGGCGCUCCGCCACCGCGGGGCUGCAGGCAGGGAGCCACGGCGUGGGCAGUGGCGGAGCAGGGUGUCUAGGGGCCCCCUUCAUUCGCAGCGGCUGUUCCUCAAACCCCAAGCCCAGUUGUUGACAGGCUCCUUGUGAAAUGGAGUUUGGCAUCCUCAGCGCCCAACCGAGUGGAAGUUUCCAUGAUGAGGAAGUUGUGUGACAUGGGGGUUCGGAAAAGGUUGGCAGGCACGGGGGAGGGGGGUGCAGUUUAAAGGGACUUGGGUCUCCUGUCCCCCUUUUUUUCUCCUGCCCUGGAACUCAGGGAUUUGGAAUGGAGAAUUGCCCUGAAAGCUGUCGUGCGCUGUUACCAGUGCCUGGCGACUCAACUCUGCUGCUCUCUGCCUCUUUGGGAAAUCGGUGGCGAUUCUACUAGACUCCCGAGUAGCGCUUCUUUGCUUUGCUGUUCUUGACGCAGCAUCUUCCUCUGGGUCAUCUCGAGUUGGUUGUGUUACCAGUUGUUCCAGAUGUGCAUUACCCACCUCUUGGGGAAGGAUUCAUUUGGGUAGUUUUUAUUCCUAGUUAAUUUCGUCCUUCUUAGCUGCAGUUGUCAUUUUGGAGGAGGAUUUCCUGAUGACCAUUAUAGGAUUAUUAUUGGAGCUAAUUCUUAAGCCUUCUGAUUUGUUUUAAGAAGACUGGGGGUGGGGUGGAAUGAGGGUUGUUUUUGUUUUUGUUUUUCAGUUAAAAGCUAAAUGUGUAAUUUUCUCCAAAUGGGAAAAUUUAAAAGAAGGGUCUGAAGCAUAGCAAUUCCAAACGUGAGUCAAAGAAAGUGUUUACCUGAGCAGCCAAGUUCAGACUCUUCACCCUCCUCUCUCCACACACGUUUAGAAUUUGUGAAGAUUCAAACACUAUGUCUAACUGGUAAAUAUACUUGAAAUAAAUCCUUCCCCUCAGCAUAUAAUUGGUCUUAGGUACUAGUGAGAUUCAAUUAUAAAGACUAUUUUAAGUUAAAGAAAUGAAGCAUUCCAGGUACUGUGCAUUCAUACGAGAACAGAACAAUUUUUAUAAUGAUAAAUGUAUUAGAUAAAGUAAACCUGGUAGGCAGUGUUUUUACAUCAUUUAUCCUUAGUUUGUUAUCAUUGCAACAAAAUAUUACAUGCACUGUAUUGCAAAGGAAUAAAAACUGCAUUUUAGUGAAAAUGUUCCAUGAUUCAUUCUGAAUAUUCAUGAUGACGAUUCUACUCCCUAAUUCAUUCUGCUUAAUUCUAACUCUGAAAGGAGGCAUAAGCUAAGAAACAUUAAUGAAAAAGGUAUUUCAAAAGUAUUUUGAACAGUGGAUGAUUUUAAGACAUUUUCAUGUCAGUUGGCUAAGUGAGUUAAUGGACCCUAAUGGCAAUUUAGUAGUGAUUUGUUUGGGGUAUUUUAUAUGUAGGGUCUGGUGAGCAACUAUUUAUUAUUUGUGCAUGUUAAACAGAUGCUGGUAGAAUUUUAUUUUUAAUUAAUUUCAAAGGUUUAUUAUAUAUUGGAAGUGAAAACAUCUGCUAGUAAAUAGAGUUUGGCUUUAUUUUAUGAGUAAAAUAAAUGAUACUGAACAUAGCUUACCAAAUUCUUUUGGGUUUUUUAUGAAGUGAUUCCUGUUGGUUCUACAAUGCAAAAGCAUAAUUUCAUUGACAUUGGGAAUAUUGUUGUAUAAAGUAACUGGCAUUACAUUUCUCCCAUUUUCACUUUUUUGUAGUAAAUUCUGUUGUAGAGAAGAACUAAGACAAUUUGCUUUUAAUCUAGCAUCUUGGGGGGGCGGGGGGAGGUGAAUUCUUAAAAUCCCCUUAAGAACAGGGAAAGCUGAGGAUUCCUUUCCUUUCCUAAGGUGUUUCCAGUUGUUUGAAGCAUGAGAUGUUAGGGGGCCACACAUGAGAUUGCAUGUUUGAUUAUAAAAUAAAAUUUUUAGUAAGCUCAUCUUUUGAUGGAAAUCAGAAUAUAGGUGAUUGAUUUCUAUAUCUCUUUCUCAUUCUGUUAUAAGGUUCUGUGUCACCUUGGAGCAAAGACAGUCCCUUAUUCCUUUUUAAAACGUUCAGUUUGUUUGUUUGCAUCUUUUUCCUCCUUUCAUCUUCUUUGCAAUCUGAAUUGUUCAUUUCAUUUGAUAUUUGUUGAUUACCUGUCUACUCUGCCUACAGUAUAGAGCCCAUAAAAAUGGGAGUCUUGACUACUUCAUUGACUCUAGAUUUCCCAGCAUCUAGAAGAACACUUGACACACAGUAGGUGCUGAGUAAAUCUUUGUUGAACAAAUUAAUGGUUGUGCCCAAACAUCAUGUUCCCCUAAUGCCUGACUCAGCAUUGCAAAUGGGUGCCAGUUGGGCAUGCCAAAAUUUGUGGCUCGUGUGUGUGCUUGUGCACGCAAAUACACACACAUACCAUGUUUACAUGGUUCAAUCUUUGCACCUCCUCACCCUCUCUGAUAACAGCUGGCCUGCCAUUCUGUAUAGCAGCAACAUUGUAGAGAGUUAUUUCUCCAAAUUGCUCCAGGCAUUUGCCUACCUUCAGCAGUGGUGGAGAUUGCCUUUCAAAUGUUACCUUGAUUCCCUGAAGACAUUGACCGUCAACUCCCUGAAUUUUAGCAGAAUCUUUAUGGGUUCCAGGAGCAUUGUCAGUACUAAGAGUCAAAUUCCAGAGACCAGACAUCACUGGGUGAUUGCAGCGACUUCUCACUCAGCAGGUCUUGGCAGUGUCUUUGGCCUUGGCAGUCCUAAGAGGACCAAGGGCGUGUGGUGAUAUAGUUUAGGCUGUAAAAAUGGUGGCUUGGGAGGGAAAGGGGAAUGGGACUGGCAAGUUCCAACACAAGAUAGAUAUACUCCUUGGUAAUAGAUUUGGAAAUAACCUGAUGAUGACUGUAUGUUGUAACUCAAGUCAGCCAACCUCUUCUCUUUCCCCCCCGGUUGCACUUUCAUACAUAUAUUCUGAACCAGAUGAUGGUGCACAAUACUGCAUUAUGUGAGCUUUCAAGUGACCAGAAUUUGAUAGCCAAGGGGUCAUCUUCAGAUUAAUUAUUCAUGGAAAUUCUUGCCAAUUGGGAAUAAGAGGAAAUUACAAUCGAUGAUUAUGGUAAUUUGUUUUUGUUUAUAGAGAUCGACUUUCAGAAAUGUGUCUGAGUAAAUGCAUAGUAAAAAUUCCACAAAAUAACAAGACUGUUAAAAAUGGGAAGGAAAGAUAAACUAAAAUCCUAAGUGUUUACUGCUUUAUUUACUUUAUCUCUGAGCUUUGUAACAGCCAAGUUAAUAGGAAAAACAGAGAGAGAGAAAGAGAGAUCUGGAGGGCAUACAAGCAAGUUGUUGGUAUAGAUCAGAUAAUAUGUAGAGAGCUCACCAUGAUGCCUGGCAACUAGAAUAUAUUCAUAUGAAAGAUCAAAUUAUGCCAUGGACAGUGCUUCAACUUGGAUUCUACAGAAAAUGAAGUUUAUAUGGUCAUGUGUUUUACCAGUCCUCAAGAGGGAGAAAAAAAUUUCAGAAGGCUCAGUGAAGAAAAGUAACCAGAUAUGAGUUAUCUCUGGGGCCCAAGCUCCUGUGAUCCAGUGAUGGAGAUUCUGGCGAUGAUCCUCAAUGCAGAAAACCUAGUGGAAUGAAUGGCUAACAUGUCCAUUAAACUAACUUUCUGAGACAUGCAGUGUGUCCACCAGGCUUUUCAUUAGAGCAAUCUGAGAGGACAGAAUAGGCAGGUACUUGAAAAUGACCCUAUAGCCAUAAACUUCCCUGAUUGGUGGACCUUCUGCUUUGUGCUUUUAGUCUAUGUAGUUCUUAUACUUCAGGAAGUCUGUUUCAAUUCCUGCCCCCACCUCUAAAUUGUGAUGAGAGGCUGUGAGUGGGUUUAUUCAUCCUUGACACUCCAGUGCCUGAUAGAUAAGGAGCUUGGCACAAGAGCACAGGUAAACUUCUAGUGGAAGAACAGAAGGGAGAGAAGGGGUGGUGCUUCUCAUUUUCCUCUGUGUUGGUAAGUGAGUGCCAUCUUCUAACUUUUGGUUUUGCCCAAAGUGAAUGUUUACUGCCUGGAUUGCAUCAUAGGCCAAAUCAUGCAACUGUUUUGCUAAGAAGGGCUUGUUCUGGUGUCAAAGCUGGUUGAGCAAUGCAUGACAAGUUAACUCCUUACUUUAUUUACAGUCACUUUGAUCCUUUGAUUUGAUUGCUUAUUCCAUCUGCAGAUAUUAUGUGCCCACUGUGUGCCUGAUCCUGCUAGUCACCUUGAAGUUUGGUGUGCAGCCAGUGACAUAUGAGACAAUAUACAGAGAUUAAGACAAAGGGAUUCUGAAAUGCUCUCCACUGGGAUGAAAUGGAUGUGCCUCUUGGAGUUUCUCAUGUGAACCCUUAGCUGAAAUAAAGUCAUUUUAUUUCUG